GGAGGGGGCGGCGGCGGCGGCGGCGGGGCCGGGAACGCGUGGCCUGGCCGGGCUGAGGAAACAGCAACCCCUCCAGGCUCUCCUACAGCACCUCCAGGGACUAAAACUUGCCUCAGCCACGUGACUAUCCUGAUCUGCCUGCUGGGAGAUGAGCAAAGGUCUGAGAGGGACUAGAUCUCAGCAGAGACAGCAGUUCCUGAGCACCCACCCCCCAGUGCUUCCAGAAAUGCAAUGCAACAUGGACCAACCUGUGAGCAUUUGCUCCUCCUCAGGGGCAGCCAUGAGAUACAGAAACAGUAGGAUUAGGAUAUAUCAAGACAUGGAUUUGCUAGACACUGCCUGCCAACAUUCUCCCUCCUCCCCUCAGAUCUAUGGUGUGUUAAACAAUUAAAAUAUUCAAAACCAGAGACAUUACUUUGCCGACUGAGGUCCGUCUAGUCAAGGCUAUGGUUUUUCCUGUGGUCAUGUAUGGAUGUGAGAGUUGGACUGCAAAGAAGGCUGAGCGCUGAAGAAUUGAUGCUUUUGAAGUGUGGUAUUGGAGAAGACUUUUCAGAGUCCCUUGGACUGCAAGGAGAUCCAACCAGUCCAUUCUGAAGGAGAUCAACCCUGGGAUUUCUUUGGAAGGAAUGAUGCUAAAGCUGAAGCUCUAGUACUUUGGCCACCUCAUGCGAAGAGUUGACUCAUUGGAAAAGACUGUGAUGCUGGGAGGGAUUGGGGCCAGGAGGAAAAGGGGAUGACAGAGGAUGAGAUGGCUGGAUGGCAUCACUGACUCAAUGGACGUGAGUCUGAGUGAACUCCGGGAGUUGAUGAUGGACAGGGAGUUCUGGUGGUGCUGCGAUUCAUGGGGUUGCAAAGAGUCAGACAUGACUGAGCGACUGAACUGAACUGAACUGAACAAUUAAAAGGGACCUGUGUUGAGCAAGUAAACUUUUUUAUACUUAAGAACCAGGGUAACCAUCACCUAGCCUCCUUCCUUGAAAUCAGACUAUUAUGUGGCAUAUGGGAGUGGACCACCUCCUGGUACUCCCACUGCCAACAAGUAGAGGUCUGGUUUCCUGAGGCUGAUGCUACUCUAU